rfam:Apaloderma vittatum contig41017, whole genome shotgun sequence.
CUGGGGUAUGGUGAUAUGUAUCCACGGACUUGGUCAGGCAUGCUGGUGGGAGCCCUCUGUGCACUGGCUGGAGUACUCACUAUAGCCAUGCCCGUGCCUGUGAUAGUUAAUAAU